rnacentral:lncRNA from 1 species
UUAUUUUUUCUAAGUUUGGUAGACAAUCUCAUGAAAAAGAAUUGUCUAGUAAGGAUGAAAUUAUUGCUCUUGCUUCUAUUGUUGUGCCUCCUACUAAUCCUUUAGAGCAAUACUUGCUUGAACAUGAAAAUGAUAUGCAUAUGGAUGAAAGGAAUGAUAUAGAUAGAGUUAUCUUUGAACAACGUCCUAUCCUUAAGAAUAAUUUGCCUGUUCAAUGUAGCGACCCGAC